rnacentral:misc_RNA from 1 species
CCCCAGGUACGUCUCCCCCGGAGUUGUCGCCGAACAAGUUGUCCCCAGUCGUCCGUCUGCUCGGUGUAAGACCGGCAUGUAGUCCCCAGACGUACGUCUGGCCGGUGUAGCCCGGUGAGUUAUUUCAAGCUUUCCGUCGUCCAGGCCCUCAGGCACGUGUCCUGCUUGCCUGGGGGGUUGCCAGGACCGUUACUCCUUGUCCUCCGUCUGGCCGGUGUUGCCCGGCAGGUUGGUUCCCAGCGCCUUGUGGCAGCGCUUGGCUGGUAGGCCACGGGGUCCUUGGCGUGUGUGGUGUAUUCUCAGCUAGGCACGUCGCCCUCGGACGUCUCGCCCGGCCGUGUUGCCCGGGGAGUUAGUCCCAGGCCCCUUUGGAGUCCCGGAGCCCCCAGGUACGUCUUCCCCGGAGUUGUCGCCGAACAAGUUGUCCCCAGGUACGUCUUCCCCGGAGUUGUCGCCGAACAAGUUGUCCCCAGGUACGUCUUCCCCGGAGUUGUCGCCGAACAAGUUGUCCACAGACGUCCGUCUGCCUGGUGUAAGACCAGCAUGUUGUACCCAGACGUUCGUCUGGCCGGUGUAGCCCGGUGUGUUAUUUAAAGUUUUCCGUCGCCCAGGCCCUCAGGCACGUGUCCUGCUUCCCUGGGGGGUAGCCAGGGCCGUUACUCCAUGUACUCCGUCUGGCCGGUGUCGACCGGCAGGUUGGUUCCCAGGCGUUCCCGCCUGGCCGGUGUAGCCCGGUGUGUUUGUCUUAAGCGCCCUGCCCGUCCGUUGUAGCAGGGAUUCCUCCUACGUUGCAAGUUCAGCGUUCGUCCGCCUGCCCGUCCGCCUUGUGUCGUCGGUUGUUCUUCAACGUCGGAGGGAGACGCUGGUGUUGUAAGAUCGGACCCGAGAUCAGCGCGACGACGUCUGCAGGUUUACGUCUAACGUGGCGAGAAGCCGGACCACCCAACAUCUGCAACACGGAAGAGGGCACGGACGGCGUCAACGCGAGGACAGCAACGUAGUGGAGCACGGACACAGCCGGCCAGGGCGCGGACCAAGCCCACACGCUUUGCCUCCCCCUCUACAGAGCCCUCCUCGGCUGGCUCGGACACGGACACCGGGCGCACACCUCAGCUGGACAAUUUGGACAAAGCAACGGGUGGCACAGUGACACAACUCCCACCUUUUCAGCAGACGAUUGGACGACGCUGCAGGCCCUCAUUGCGCAAGCACAUGGGCCCUCCUCGGGCUCAGGUCACCGCGACGGAGGAGGUGCAGUGACAUCGGACAACAGUGCAGUGACGCUGCCGCCCUUGUUCCUGCGAGAAGCAGGCCUCGCCGAGACGCCGACAACAGUUCCCGCGCACCUCCUGCCCUGCAACUUCACCCUGCAACUGUGAGGACCCUAUUCAACUCCCCGCAGCCAGCGGUGAGGCGUACUUACAGGGCUAAGUGGGUGGAGUACGCCGCCUACGUCUCGGCAGGACGGCGAGGAGAAUGCCCCUUCGAUGCUGCACCUUCGACUCUGGUGAACUUCCUGCAAUCUCUGUCGGAAAAUCCGACACCAUUUAAUAAUCAUACAGAUAAUAGCUGUAUUGUAUAAACAAGUUACCCAUAGAAAACGUAACUUGUAGUGGAAUUACCGUCUAUA